AUGUCAAAAGGUCAGAUUCCGCCUGUGCUUGCACAGUGGUGGAAGAAUGACCUUGGGACAUGCCCCGGCAUGAGCCUAAAAGCGGAGCGAAGCUUCGCGAUAUGCGAAUGAAGGGGCGGAUUGUGGGAGUGCGAAGCACGUAGCAAUCCGUGUA
rnacentral:sRNA from 1 species